CUGGUAGGCGAACGGAUAAAAUGUCACCAGUCCCUUGGCAAGGAUGGACCAGCUCUUAGUGGCCUUUACUACUGUUAAGGUUAAGGCAUCACCAACUACUUUGUGGCAUCUCUAAUUAGAUUUAUUU